rnacentral:lncRNA from 1 species
UUUGGUUGAGUGUUUCAGUGCAACCAAAAUUAAUUCUUACCACACUGCUAUCCCAAAAAUCAACUGGAGCUUUCAGCAGCAGUAAACUCACUGGUUGAACUUCCAUUUAUUAUUUUACUAUUUUAUCCUUAAAGUUUCUUUAUCAAUCUAUUUUUUUUUCAGAUUUGGCAGCCAAAUUCUACUGAUAACGGGGAAAGAAAUACCUCUGCUGCAAGCUGUGUCAAGUCAUCCUCAAUCGAAGACUGAUAAGCCUGUGAUUGUAAGUGUUAAGCUCAAAUUUAUCCCUUUGGAGUCUUCUUGAUGCUUUCUGUGUGCCAUUUCUUUUCAUUUCUGGGUGUAUUUGUGCAUUUUUCUCUCCCACGCCCUGUCACUAUCCCCAAACCUCCCUUGUCUCCCAAUCUGCUUUCCCCCUAUGGCUUAUGCCUUUAAUAAAAAUCCCUCAUUUUUUCCAUUCUUAAGACAGACUUCAUUCAUUAACCCAACUUUAUCAUCAUUCUUUGACCAUGGCAUCGGUUAGUUCUUGUUUUCUUUUCCUUUCUUUUUUUAAUUGAUUUCUCCAUUUGCAAUAUGAUUUUUGUUCAUAGUUUUUUUCCUGCUAUUUCUUUUGUUUCAAACUUUGGGUUUUCUUCAUUUCUUUGUUGAUCCAACAAUUGGUGUAACUUUCUGCUUAUUUGAGGUUAAUUGGAUCCUUGGGAAGUACUUUAGUCUUUGAUUUUUUCUUCUGAAUGUGUGUGCUUAUAGUAAGCAAUAGAUUAUAUAUCUUAAUUUUUUUUGUUUAAGGGACUGAAUUUUACCAAUUUCUUGUUUAGCUUGGAUAAUGCAAAUAAACUGAAGAAAUUCACACCUUACUCUUUCCUAAUUUUGAUGUGGAAAAUCCCUUUAUUGCAUUAAUUUUAUACAUUAGCAGAUGUAGUUCUUGUUAUGUAUUUCUAAAAAACAAUGUUGGAAGUGUAUCUACCUUUGGUUCAUUUUGACUUUGUGGAUUGUUGCAUUCAAUAAGCCAUUUUUACUGAAACACGGUCCUAAGAACUUGAAUCUCUUUAUACGUAACUUAACUGAUGAUAAAUCUGAUCUUUUUAAACAUUGGUUUCAUAUGACAAAGAGUAUUGCUCUGUAAUAUGAUUGGUUUUUAUAAAUGUGCUUGCACUGUGUUUAAUUUGAAAUGAUAAUUUUUUCUGCUUAGCUGCUUUCACCAAAAGCCAUUUUUAGAGCUAACUUGAAUUUGUUAAUUUCUGCAACUUACACCAAAUGUCAUCGGCAUAAAAACAUAGAGCUAGUAUAACUUUUACUAGAAAUAUCUUUCGUGUGUUCUGAUUUAGUGACAUGUUCAAGAUUCUUAGCUUUGUUGUGAAAUUAACUUCAAGAUACAGAAUGACUGUAUUGAGGCAGAACAACACGAGUUAUUGGGUGGUACCAUUCACAUCCCCAUAUUACUGUUAUUCCUUCUCAUGUUGAUUAGUUUUGAACAUUAGUUUUGUUUUUGCGUUAACUUUCUCACUAAGGUGGCCAAAGUUAUUUUCGCAAUUACUAUGCUCUUGUUCCAGGUACUUUUAGCAUUUUAUUAACCUUCAACUUUCGAAUAGGAGGUGUUUUUUCACCCAUAUAGGUAAAAUGGGGUUUAAGAACUCCACAAACAGGUUCAUAUGCCUGUCAAGUUUUCAUUUAGCUAUAAAUAAGUCAACAUUGAAGGAUUGAGUCAGCAUAUAUAGUUUUUAGACAUAUCACAUUCAGCAUGCAGAUAAACCCUCUUGUGAAAUUUUAAACUCUUUUACUAAGUAUUGCUGCCAUUUAUUCUUUGUUUUUUCUUCUUUAAUUAUCAUAAAGUUUGUGAGGCUUAGACCAUUUUCUCCUAUUGAAUCCCUAUUCUUCAGUAAAUCAAGUUUGGUGUCUAGUGCAUGACUCUUUUGCCCUUUUGGAGUUGUAUUCUCAAUUGAGUUUUGGUUUUACCUGUUGAAUUUAAGGUUGAUUUAGAUUUGUUUUCUAUACUAGGUUAGAUAAGUCAAAGUAAACAGGAGGGGUCUGAAAGAGGGACGGGAUUACAAAAUUCGUCAACUAUUUCUAUAAGCUCACAAAUUCUCCUUGUAUAAGACAAUAGAAAUUAUAUUUAGUGGGGACACUCCUGACAUGCAGGAACAAAUACAUUAUGUUUGUUUCUAACCAUUAUCAGAUAAUUUAGAGGUGUCAAGGACAGAGAGAUCUACUGUAUUAGUUGUGGAAAUUAGAGGGAUUGCUCAGAUAAAAAUUGUUUGUGCUGAUUGACGUACAGUGUUAGAAAAAGUUACUAAGCAAAGCCUGUAUAAGAUCAGUGUGCUUGGUAUUAGCAUUCAGUAGGAAUAGGAACAGUUGCAUUUCAAAGAUUAGUGGAAGUACAAGUCCAUCAAUUAUAUCUUAUGAAAUGUUCAGAUUCUUUUUAUUAUAUCGUUUGUUAGAUGUAACUGUUGUUCUUAUUUAACUCUUUCUCUCUUUAAAGGCUCAACAUAAGAAAGUUGGUGAGAAAUCUCUUCUUUCAAUUUCUUCAUUAGUGCAGGUAAGAAAUUUACUUCCACAACUCUAUGAUUCUGAUUCCAAUUGUAUCAUUAGUUUUUGUAUCACUAAUUUUGUAACACCCCGUACCCGAGACCAUUGCCGGAAUCGAACACGAGGUGUUAAUGGACUUAAUUCAUUACUUAAACAGCUCAUACAAUUCAUUUUAAAAUUUUCCAGACAAGCUGGCUAACUGCAUUACAGUCGGUUUAAAAAUCAUAUCUCGAGUUCCAAAACUUGAAAUCCAAUUCUGUAAAUUUUUCCUGAAACUAGACUCAUACAUCUAUCUACUAAUUUUUUUCUAUAAUUUUUGGUCAGGCCAAUUAGUACAGUUUAUUAGUUAAAUUCUCCCUCAUUUCAGGGUUCGACUACUCUGACCUCUGUGUAUUACGAAUCAGAUAUCUCCCUGUAUAAUGCUUCAAUGACUAUGCUGUUUGUCUCUAAUAAAACUAGACUCAACAAUGAAUCUGUACAUAUAAAUCAUGACUUUUAAUUAUCUUUGUAAAAUUUAUGGUGAAUUUCAAAAGUCAUAAUAGGGGAUCUAGAAAUCGCUCUGGCCCUAUUUCACAAAAAUUUAAACAUCUCAUAAAAUAUAGCUCAUAUACCUGUUUUGUUUCUUCCAUAUGAAAAUAGACUCAUCAAGCUUCGAUUCCAUAACUUAUUCAUUAUUUAAUUCCAUUUAUACUAUUUUUAGUGAUUUUUCAUAUUCAUG